rnacentral:tRNA from 7 species
GUGGGUGUAGCUCAGUUGGUAGAGCCCCGGAUUGUGAUUCCGGUUGUCGUGGGUUCAAGUCCCAUCAUCCACC